GAUGAACGCUGGCGGCGUGCCUAAUACAUGCGAGUCGAGCGAACAGACGAGGAGCUUGCUCCUCUGACGUUAGCGGCGGACGGGUGAGUAACACGUGGAUAACCUACCUAUAAGACUGGGAUAACUUCGGGAAACCGGAGCUAAUACCGGAUAACAUGUUGAACCGCAUGGUUCAACAGUGAAAGACGGUCUUGCUGUCACUUAUAGAUGGAUCCGCGCCGCAUUAGCUAGUUGGUAAGGUAACGGCUUACCAAGGCAACGAUGCGUAGCCGACCUGAGAGGGUGAUCGGCCACACUGGAACUGAGACACGGUCCAGACUCCUACGGGAGGCAGCAGUAGGGAAUCUUCCGCAAUGGGCGAAAGCCUGACGGAGCAACGCCGCGUGAGUGAAGAAGGUCUUCGGAUCGUAAAACUCUGUUAUUAGGGAAGAACAAAUGUGUAAGUAACUAUGCACGUCUUGACGGUACCUAAUCAGAAAGCCACGGCUAACUACG
rnacentral:rRNA from 1 species